GACAGAAAGUCUGAACGGAGCAACCGCCCGCGUGAGUGAUGAAGUGUUUUCGGAUCGUAAAACUCUGUUGUUAGGGAAGAACAAGUACCGUUCGAAUAGGGCGGUACCUUGACGGUACCUAACCAGAAAGCCACGGCUAACUACGCUCGCCAGCAGCCGCGG
rnacentral:rRNA from 1 species